rfam:Coprinopsis cinerea okayama7#130 cont3.68 mitochondrial, whole genome shotgun sequence.
GCCGAUAUAGUUUAAUUGGUAAAACGGAUUCCUUGUAAGAUUUUGAUAUUGGUUCAACUCCAGUUUUCGGCA